rnacentral:rRNA from 1 species
UACGGAGGAUGCAAACGUUAUCCGGAUUUAUUGGGUUUAAAGGGUGCGCAGGUUGUUUGAUAAGUCAGUGGUGAAAGUCUGUCGCUUAACGGUAGGAUUGCCAUUGAUACUGUUAGACUUGAAUAUGGAUGAGGUAGGCGGAAUGUGUAGUGUAGCGGUGAAAUGCAUAGAUAUUACACAGAACACCGAUUGCGAAGGCAGCUUACUAAUCCAUCAUUGACGCUGAGGCACGAAAGCGUGGUGAUCAAACA